GUCAAUUUUUUUUAAAAAAAAUCAUUAUGUUUUCAUUUUAAAAAAAAACCUGAGAGCUCUCUCAUUUUCUAUUGUCUCCGGCUCGGACAACGGCAAGCCUCUAUCGUGCCUCCGCCGUGGCCGAAAAAAUGCUUGUAGUCCCUUUUUAAUUAAAAAAAAACCCAGAUCUAAGCUUUUUUGAAAUAGAAAUAAAAUAUAUAUAUAUAUAUAUAUAUAAAUUGCGAAGGAAAACCUUCGCCUCAGUUAACUAUUCAGGUCUUGCUCUGCCGAAGCCUAGGCCGAAUCCUAAUGGAUUCGGAGAUUCGACGCCGGAGAACGCAUCCGACAACCGUGGAAGAUGAAUCGACUCAGGCGUUGGCAGUCAACGGAGGCGAAGGCUUGCUGUUUUGGUGCAAAUGGUGGCAGGGCGCGCCAGGCCUCGGGCGGCGUGCGUGCGAAGGGAAGGGUGCAGCGCUAGAAAGGAAUUAGGGUUUCCUAUUUUUUCUGAAAUGUUUUGGGCCACUGGGCUCUUAACUUUAGGGUUUUUAGUUUUGGGCUAUUUCGGCUUCUUUUGUAAAUGAACUUUGGGACUAUCAAUUUGUAUUUUUGUUUUUAUUUGUUUUUUAGUCUUUGUUUAGGGCUCGGGCAAAAAUGGUCCAUUACAAUGGUAAUAAUAUGGAAGGUGCAAAUCUUUCGUCCUUAGUUAUA